rnacentral:tRNA from 1 species
GCCUGGGUGGCUCAGUCGGUUGAGUGUCCGACUUCAGCUCAGGUCAUGAUCUCACAGUUCGUGGGUUUGAGCCCCGCAUCAGGCU